rnacentral:rRNA from 1 species
UACGGAGGGUGCGAGCGUUAAUCGGACUUACUGGGCGUAAAGCGCGCGUAGGCGGUUGCGUAAGUCGAUUGUGAAAGCCCCGGGCUUAACCUGGGAAUUGCAGUCGAUACUGCGCAGCUAGAGUGUGGUAGAGGUAAGUGGAAUUCCGGGUGUAGCGGUGAAAUGCGUAGAUAUCCGGAGGAACACCAGUGGCGAAGGCGGCUUCCUGUACCAACACUGACGCUGAGGUGCGAAAGCGUGGGGAGCAAAUAUG